UGUACAUACCGAUUGUCAUACUGUAGUGUUCAUAUUCUUGUGAUAACGUCCAAUUAAAAAGACAAAUAUGUCUCUCGUAGAUAUUUUACCAAACGAAAUAUUUCUAAUAAUUUUUUAUUUAUGUGAUGUAUAUACUUUAUUACAGCUCAACAGUGUAUGCAAAAAAUUUCAUGAUCUAUCAAACAAGAUCUUAAAUAAAAAAAGUAACCAUUUGCUUGUUACGAAUGAAGUGUCGAAAAAAUUUCGUGAACGUUGUAAAGAAAUGGAUGAAUGUAUAAAUGAUAAUACUUGUUCCCAACUACUAUGGCAAGAUCCUCACACUAUUCUCAUGCUGUAUAAACAACAGGUUAAAAAAAUGGAUAUAAGAACAUCAAAAUUUGUACGUACAUGGGAUGCUUCUGUCCAAAGAAGUUCUUAUGAAUUACAUUGUUUCUCUUCACAUUAUUUGUAUACUAUUAUGACAGGAGCGAAUAAUAAUACAAUACUUCUAUGGGAUCAAAGAUUAAAUAACUGCAUUCAAACGUAUAAAUUACAUAGUUUUCGUAACAACCCUGUACAUUCUGUGGAAUUUGACAGCAUCUGUAUGUGUGUUUUUUCACAACAAAAAGGUUUGUUCGAAUAUUUUUUUAAUAGUUACUAUUUUGCGGAUAGUGAUGGCG